rnacentral:rRNA from 1 species
AGUGAACGCUGGCGGUAGGCCUAACACAUGCAAGUCGAACGGCAGCACAGUAAGAGCUUGCUCUUACGGGUGGCGAGUGGCGGACGGGUGAGGAAUACAUCGGAAUCUACUUUUUCGUGGGGGAUAACGUAGGGAAACUUACGCUAAUACCGCAUACGACCUACGGGUGAAAGCAGGGGAUCUUCGGACCUUGCGCGAUUGAAUGAGCCGAUGUCGGAUUAGCUAGUUGGCGGGGUAAAGGCCCACCAAGGCGACGAUCCGUAGCUGGUCUGGGAGGAUGAUCAGCCACACUGGAACUGAGACACGGUCCAGACUCCUACGGGAGGCAGCAGUGGGGAAUAGUGGACAAUGGGCGCAAGCCUGAUCCAGCCAUACCGCGUGGGUGAAGAAGGCCUUCGGGUUGUAAAGCCCUUUUGUUGGGAAAGAAAAGCAGCAGGUUAAUACCCCGCUGUUCUGACGGUACCCAAAGAAUAAGCACCGGCUAACUUCGUG